GUUUGCACUUUCACAUAAUUAUCUUUUUCCCCCCUUGCUUAUCAGUUACACAGUUUUGGUUGAACCUGACCAAGGUCAUGUCUGAGCAGCUCCUUCAGUGGCCCAUCAAUCAGAUGUAAGAGCUCUGGCUUUUAGUGUGACCUCAAUUAUGUACUGUUCUUUAAACUUGAUAUAUGUAUAUGUUUAAUCCACUGCUUUUCCCACCUCUCUCUCUCUCUCUCUCUCUUUUAUUUAUUUAUUUAUUUUUUUUAUUCUGCUGAAUAGCUGUUAAUCAGAUAUCCUUACAAAUCAGAUAUUCUUAAAUUUUAGCCAUGUCCUUACAGCUAGGUUUAUUUAGUUUAGACAGUGGCUGCUGACCUGAAUUCCUUUGUGCACCCUCACCUUGUCCUCCCUUUGGAAAGUCUCACCUCCUCAGUGUGGUAUGUACAGUACAAAAAAGUAGGGAGAAUACUUUCCUUUAAAAUAAAAAGGUUGGAUUUUUCCUUUCGUUUCCAGGUCCUCUGAGAUCAGAUGGACCAGACAUGCUGCCCUGAAGCCUGAGUAUGAAGCUGACAUUCAAAUCUUCAAAGAGGUAUUAAAAAGAGAUGCAGAACAAAUUCUCUUCACGACCUGAAAGUAAUGAGAGCAUGGAAACCUGAACAGAUUUGUGGAGCAGAGGUCUAUAAAGCAGAGCAGGUGCUCAGGAUGCUUUCAUCACAGCCAUUGAUUCAACACAUCCUUGUGCAAGCACAUGGGUUUUGCUCCCUUCAGAGAUAAUCUCGACCCUAUUGAUAGUUUAUCUUUAGGAUCAGCCUCAUAUUGUUUCCUGGAACAGGCUCAGGAAGACUUAAGUCUUCAUAAGCUAUCGAGCAGUGUUCCUGCUGGGGCAUCAUGCUACUGAACAGCAUUAAUCUGCCAUGGUAGGUACUUUGUGACACUGAACAUAAGAGAGAAAAAGGAUAUUCUGCAAUGUGACAGCUGAAAAAUGCUAACUCUGCUUUAUGAAGAAUGGUCUGGAAGAAACUAAUAAUAAAACUGACAUUCUAUUAACAUGGUAGGUUUUUUGGUGUAUGUAUUAGGG
rnacentral:lncRNA from 1 species